AAGUUCAUCUACACCUCAGGAAAGGCCCCCAGAAAAGCACAACUGCUUUAUUAUGCUGUGCAGUAGUGGAAAUUAGAAUCCAGCUCUUUCUCGAAAACAGCAGAAUAGCAUGAAAGGAGAAAUGGGAUUUGAAGUCAAAUGAACCUCGAUUGCAUCCAGCGGACCAAGAGUGUGUGAUGAGAUUUGGGCCAGGAAGCCUGAGCCCGGUUGGACCGGGAUUACAUUGCCAGCAUUCCACAUUCUAGCUGGAACAUUAGGGUUCUAAGGCUCUGUUCAUUAUGCUGGAGUCCAGGGCUCAGAAGAGCCAGUCUCAGGACCCGGGGCCGUGAUGGGUCCCAGUCCCUGAGGAGGGACUACCUGUCCAGCUCAGUACCAGUGACGUCCACAUUCACCAGGCUGAGGAGCCAUGUGCUGGUGGAGGAGAUGGGGCCAGCUCUUCCUGCCAAUUUUCCUCUCCCUGUUUCUCAUCCAGCUGCUUACCAAUUUCUCAGGUAAUGGAUUUUCCCACGUCUUCAGCCAAAGGACCAAGCAGACAAGAAACAGUGAGAUUGAGGAGGCAUGUGCUCAAAAGAGAAACUGUCAAUUGUGCACAGAAGAUAAGAAAUGUAUUUGGUGCAGUGAAGAGCGCAUUUGCAAAAAAUACUGUUUUCCAUAUCAUGGCUGUAGUAUCAGUUCUAUGUAUUGGGCAAACUGUAGAGACAUCAAGUCUAUUUUUAUGGACGACGAGAAAGAACUACUGUUCACAGUUGGAAUCCCGAUGCCUGAAAAGAUAGAUCUUCCAGAGGGACAAGGAAGAAGUUUCUUCAAUGUUUUCUACAAUUGUGACCAGAAAAGAUAUUUGAUGUGAUUUCAUCUUCUUGAAUUGGAUAAGACUUGUUUUGAGGCUGAACCUGAUCCAUCCUGGAGAAUAUCUGCUGUAUGUACUUGAAAAGAAUGUGAAUUCUGCUGCUGUUAUUCAGAAUGUUCCACAUGCAGGCUUCCUUCAGGAUUUUAACCAUCCUUACAGUCUCUUUGAGAAAGAUUGAACUUUGAAAUUCCCUUGUUAAAUUUUAAAAUUCUAUUGAAAGUUUUUGUACAAUGUUUCAUUACUUUUACAUUAUGAUUUGUAUGGUAAUUUGACAUCAUAUGAGUGGAAGAGGGCUUUUAUUUUUAUUUUUUAUUUUCUUUUGGUACCGGGGAUCGAACUUGGGUCCUUGCGCUUGCUAGACAGGCAGCAGAACCACUGAGCUAAAUCCUGGCCCUAAAAACCUUUUUAAAACCCCUAUUUUAUGGUUAGUUAAAAGUUUUUAUUUUUUAAAAAAAUAUGCUCCUCCUUGCUAGUUUUUCAAUCUUCAUAUUUUCCCUUUUGAGCAGAAGGUGAUACAAAAAUAAUAUUCAAGCACCUGACAUAUACAAAUUUAUAUAUGGCUUGAGGACUGGAGGCUAUACUCUAUGACUGUGUCUGAAAUUAUUUUCUCGUCUUUAUUACCAGGCAACAAAUAAAUACUCUAAUUCAAAUUUUGUUUUACAUUUAUUAUUACAAAAGUAGUCCACUAUUCAAAAGCUUUCAUACAAUAGUGAAUCUUAGGUAAUUAUUGAUUUUUUUUUUUGGUACAGGGAUCGAACUUGGGUCCUUGCCCUAGCGAGGCAGGCAACAGAACCACUGAGCUAAAUCCCCAGCAAUUAUUGAUAUUAUUACAAUCUGUUAAUGAAAUUUUGAUUGACUCAAUAGUAUAUUUUAAAAAAUAUAUUAUUUUUCAAAUAAAAAGAUGAAGUCUCUUUAUAACUUCAAUAAUAUUAGAUGCUUUUUAAAUAGAAUAAAAUUAUGCCAGAUUUGUUUCAGUAUCAAAUUAUUUCUUCAUUAAAAUUCAGCAAUAUUCCAAUAUAUUCAUUAAUAAUUAUUUCACUAACUUUUUUUUAAGUUCCACAUUUUAGGCACAAUUUGAAAAUAUUUGAUGUUGUUUCUACUUGUAGUAGUACUUUGAUAUAAAAGUAAUAUGGCUUCCACUGAACUUAGGCAUAUGGGUAUAGAGUAUCAGAGGUUAUGAAAAAAAAUCCACCGUCAUAAUAGGAAUGAAUGAAACUUGACACUGUAUAUAUUUAGAAAAUUCUCUCUAAGAUAUGAAAGCUAGAAUUAAUUGAGCUAGGAAAAAUUACAUUUGUCUAUGAUCCCAGCACUUGGGAAGCUAAGGCAGGAGGAUCUCCAUGAGUUCAAGGUCAGUCUGGACUACAUAGUGAGUUCAGGGCCAGCCUGGAAAACAUAGCAAGACCCUAUCUCAAAAGAAAGACAAAGGAAAGAAAGAAAGAAAGAAAGAAAGAGAGAGAGAGAGAGAGAGAGAGAGAGAGAGAGAGAGAGAGAGAGAGAGAGAAAGGAAGGAAGGAAGGAAGGAAGGGAAAAUAAAGAAAAAAGAGAAAGAAAAAAGAAAGAUGAAAAUAAAAUAAAAAGAAAAGUUAAAUGUGUCUAAAUUGAAGUGAGUAUAACUCCAGAAGACAUAUCUUGCGUUGGAUCCAAGACUGAUUUCUAUCUUACCCAGUGGGUUAGCUUUCCAUGUCUGUGACUAGAUACCUAGGAAAACCAAAUUAAGAGGAGGAAAGGUUUAUGUUGGCUCCAGGUUUCAGAGGUCUCAGUCCAUGGUCACUUAACUCUUGUGUGUUGGGCUGCGGUGAGGCCAAGUAUCAUGGUGCGGAGUGCAUAGUGGAGCAGAGCUGUUUACCUUAUGGUGGCUGGGAAAGAAAGACCGAGGAGGGGGUGGGGCCAAUCUCUCAUGAAGGUCGUGAGCCUGAGUACGUAACUUCCGUCCACUAGGACCUGCCUGUGAAGAUUCUACCUCCUCCCAUAGCCCACAGGCUGGCAACCCAGCCUUCAGCACGUGGCAUUUGGGGACUAAGAUCUGAACCAUCAGAGGCAGAAAUGUUGACUUUGGUUAAAGAACUGAAACUGCCAUGUGGAAAACCUUUUCUCCCAGCCAGUCGGCUAGAUCAACUAAGCCAUCUGUCAAUGGAAGUCCUUUCUCCUGUGUCUCAAGUUUAUUUUUUCAGAUGUAUUCUGGAUUUUGAGCCCACUUUCUAGUGAAUGUUAAAUCUCAGUGUGAAGGAAGGAUGUUACAGUGCUCUCAGUUUGCCUUAAUGCUUUACUGAUGAUUUAUUUUCAGUAGCUUCCUGGUUUUAAUACCUGCCACAUAUAAAAUCAGCCACACUCUCCAGCUGGCAAUAUUGUGCUGGCAGUAAAGAUAAGACAGAGCCAAAAAAAUCCAAGUUUUAUUGAACUUGCCACAGACCAGCACUUUAUUCUCAUUAUUCUACAAAAGAUGGGAGUUUAUAUGUAGAAAAAUUAGGAAGAAAAACAAGAGAAUAUAUUUGUUUUGACCACUUAUCAGAUUACCAUUGUUAAGAUUUAACAAUACUUUAUUUUUUACUAGAGCGAUCCAUAUCUCAAAGGUGUGUUAGCUAGAUUGUUAAAAGUAGUUCCAGGGGCCGGGGAUUUAGCUCAGUGGUGUCGCUGCCUGCUGCGCAAGCGCAAGGACCCGAGUUCGAUCACCAGUACCAAAAAAAAAAAGGAAAAAAAAGUGGUUCCAAUAUUUGUUCAUUCACUACAUAUGGCCAUUUUCACAUACCUUUAAAAAAUCUCAUUAAUUGAUAUCUUUACGGAAUUUAAGUUUCUCCCCUUUCCUCAUAACAAAUUCCAAUUUAAUAUCUAAGUUCAAAACAAGUCAGGCUAUGUUAUAUAGACUAUCCUUUCACUUUCGAUCAGUUGUUAAAAAAGUUGUCCUAUAUAUCACCUGAGUACAGCUUUUGAUUUAUAAUGAUCUGAAAAAGGAUUUCUAUAAAAAACAGCAAAGGGAAAAAUGUUAAGCCAUAGCAAGAUUUUAUUUUAUUGUAAUUAUAAUAAUUUUUAAUUAAUUCCUACAUGACUAACUAUAACUAAUUCAUUUUAGAAUCUACCAUAAUUCUCUAUUUACAGAAAUCAUUGAUCAACCUUUUCCAGUUUUUAAUGUAAUGUAUAUAGUCAGAUUUAACAAUUAUCAGUAUCAUAAUUCCAAAAUGAAUGCUAUAUUUGAAAGAUUAAAUUUUGGAUUUGUUUGAUGUUAAGUGAAAUUGUGAACAACCUUUGUCCUCUGUUUUCUGCUUGACUUUUUUCUUUUAUCACCCAUCAGUGAAUGUAAAAAAGUAGAGUACAACUCAGCUGACUGCCUUUGAAGAGUAACAAUUCACAAUAAGAAUAAGUUGAUCAGCAUAGUAAUAAGGGUUAGCAACAGCUUUCUCAAGAGAUAUUUUAUGGAAAGUGAUGGAGGGCUGCCCAUCACUGCACAUGGACUGCUGACACUCUUGACUUUAAUAGGAGAGCAUUUAUCUUUUGCACCUGCUGCAGUAUAUGACUAGCUGUCAUGUACUCCAUCCAACAAAAGAGAGGAAAAACUGUCACUAUGAUUUAGGAAAUAUACACUGGCAUAAAAAAGCAAAAUAUUUUGAGCAGUUAGGAUUUAUUUUUCUUUUUCUAUUUUGCUUGUUUUCUAUGGUGAUUUAUUUAAGUUUUGUUUAGUAGUAUUAAUAUUUUCCUAUUGAAUUCAUCAAUAAAGAAAGUUCUUUGAAUUA